rnacentral:rRNA from 1 species
UACGUAGGGUGCGAGCGUUAAUCGGAAUUACUGGGCGUAAAGCGUGCGCAGGCGGGCUUUUAAGCCAGACGUGAAAUCCCCGGGCUUAACCUGGGAAUGGCGUUUGGGACUGGGAGUCUGGAGUGCGGCAGAGGAGACUGGAAUUCCUGGUGUAACAGUGAAAUGCGUAGAUAUCAGGAGAAACACCGAUGGCGAAGGCAGGUCUCUGGGCUGACACUGACGCUCAUGCACGAAAGCGUGGGGAGCAAACAGG